rnacentral:misc_RNA from 1 species
AACAGGUAUCGAGUUUAACAAAUUUAAUCGGAAAAAUUAAAAUUAGUGUCAUUAAUACGUAUCAAUCGUUGAAACAAUCAUGUAACACAGUACUCACCAUAAACGUUUGGUAUCACCACGAAGUAUGUUCAAUAAAUAACGCUGCACAAUAGUUUCGAAACACUUAGCGACAUCCAAAUUUUCCGCGCAACCACACUCCGUGUACUAGCGUUUUACCAACUGAAGAACGAGUAAAAGGUUGCAAUCUUUAUAUAUACCGUGUCACGCGGCCGUUGCCUGGCGUGUGUAGUAUUGAUGAAGAAGUAAUCAAUUCAAUCUUCGCGGUCUCCGGUAAACACAGUGAUUCAGCAUUUCACGGAAACCAACCCACUCAUCUUUUCCCUAAAGUCACGAGUAGAUGUAACACAAUAGUUUUUAUGAUGUGGUGGUGGCGGAGGUGGCGGAAGUCGACGAUGCUUCAACUGCGGCAGAGACUGCAGCUUGGUACUGGAAGGCGAAUCGAAACACUUCAAAAUGUUCUCGUCGCUUCUCGUUCUAGAGAACGCGUGGAGCGUAUGGGGAUGAGCUGGGGCCGGUGGUUCACGUCUAAGACUCUGACUGCCUGCCGACGAACAAGUAGCUCCACUAUAUAGCGAGCUUGUACUAGCAGCGUAAUGGCUACUCAGAUUACUAUGCGGUAAGUAAUUGUUAGAACUUGUGUCGCUGCUACUAAGGUUUUGAUUCGAAGCGUAUUUUGUGGGUGACGAGAACGAGGAACCAGGAAGGUAUGGUGUGCUACGAUACAUUACUAACGAUUUAUUGUUAAAAGAGGGAUAAGGAGGAGGAGGAUAAGCAGCCAUGGCCGCCAGAAGCGAACCCUGUUUCGCGUCGAUGUACUCUUGCUUCGACACCGCGGGAUCUUUUAGAGGAAACAUCACGUAAUCGACAUCCGAAUACAGUUGUUGCUUAUAUUGUUCGAUCUGCGACCUCGCAACUUGACUCGUGUAAACGGUAGCUAAGCUGGGUGGUGGCGGUGGAGGUUGUCUGGGAUGAACCAUUGGCGGGGGAGGGGGUGGCGGGGGCGGCGGUGGUGUUAAGUAAGGCAACAAAACCGGACCACCUCGUGAAGCGUGUACGUCCAAGUAAUUGUUCGGUCCAACGACAAGAGCCGCUACGGGGGCGUGAACUGGCGUAGGUUUCAUUUUGUCACCGGGAUAAGUGGGUGGUUGAAUUCUAGGUGGUGGUUUCGGGGCAACCGAAGCAACGUCAUUGACAUUGACUUGAUUGGCGUUGAUGGUCUUUGAAGCCGUCAAAGUGGCGUUCAUCUUGCUGUUUGCUAGACCCGUUUGUAUUUUCGUGGACGUCACCCUCGAUACGAUUUCUUCGCUCGUCGUUGGAUACAAUUUAGAAAUUGCUUCCUGUCGAGUGACCUCCGAAACCUC